UACGAAGGGGGCGAGCGUUGUUCGGAUUUACUGGGCGUAAAGGGCGCGCAGGCGGCUUAUUUUGUCAGGCGUGAAAGCCCCGGGCUUAGCCUGGGAACUGCGUUUGAUACGGAUGGGCUAGAGUUCGGGAGAGGAGCGUGGAAUUCCCAGUGUAGAGGUGAAAUUCGUAGAUAUUGGGAAGAACACCGGUGGCGAAGGCGGCGCUCUGGACCGAGACUGACGCUGAGGCGCGAAAGCGUGGGAGCAAACAGG
rnacentral:rRNA from 1 species